UACGGAGGGUGCAAGCGUUGUUCGGAAUCACUGGGCGUAAAGCGCGUGUAGGCGGCCUUUUAAGUCUGAUGUGAAAGCCCGGGGCUCAGCCCCGGAAGGGCAUUGGAAACUGGAAGGCUAGAGUACCGGAGAGGAGGGUGGAAUUCCUGGUGUAGCGGUGAAAUGCGUAGAUAUCAGGAGGAACACCGGUGGCGAAGGCGGCCCUCUGGACGGAUACUGACGCUGAGACGCGAAAGCGUGGGGAGCAAACAGG
rnacentral:rRNA from 1 species